UACGUAGGGGGCAAGCGUUAUCCGGAUUUAUUGGGCGUAAAGGGAACGCAGGCGGUCUUUCAAGUCUGAUGUGAAAGCCUUCGGCUUAACCGGAGUAGUGCAUUGGAAACUGGGAGACUUGAGUGCAGAAGAGGAGAGUGGAACUCCAUGUGUAGCGGUGAAAUGCGUAGAUAUAUGGAAGAACACCAGUGGCGAAAGCGGCUCUCUGGUCUGUAACUGACGCUGAGGUUCGAAAGCGUGGGUAGCAAACAGG
rnacentral:rRNA from 1 species